GACGAACGCUGGCGGCGUGCCUAAUACAUGCAAGUCGAACGCAGUGGGGACGGGUGAGUAACACGUGGGUAACCUCCCAUCAGAGGGGAUAACACUUGGAAACAGGUGCUAAACCGAUACUGAUGGAUGGACCCGCGGUGCAUUAGCUAGUUGGUGAGGUAACGGCUCACCAAGGGCACGAUGCAUAGCCUGGCUUGGAGGGUGAUCGGCCACACUGGGACUGGGACACGGGCCAGACGCCUACGGGAGGCAGGAGUAGGGGAUCUUCGGAAAUGGACGAAAGUCUGACCGAGCAACGCCGGGUGGGUGAAGAAGGUUUUCGGAUCGUAAAACUCUGUUGUUAGAGAAGCGGUACUUAACCAGAAAGGGACGGCUAACUACGUGCCAGCAGCCGCGGUAAUUC
rnacentral:rRNA from 1 species